GUGGGGAAUAUUGGACAAUGGGGGGAACCCUGAUCCAGCCAUGCCGCGUGUGUGAAGAAGGCCUUUUGGUUGUAAAGUACUUUAAGCGAGGAGGAGGCUACCGAGAUUAAUACUCUUGGAUAGUGGACGUUACUCGCAGAAUAAGCACCGGCUAACUCUGUGCCAGCAGCCGCGGUAAUACAGAGGGUGCAAGCGUUAAUCGGAUUUACUGGGCGUAAAGCGCGCGUAGGUGGCCAAUUAAGUCAAAUGUGAAAUCCCCGAGCUUAACUUGGGAAUUGCAUUCGAUACUGGUUGGCUAGAGUAUGGGAGAGGAUGGUAGAAUUCCAGGUGUAGCGGUGAAAUGCGUAGAGAUCUGGAGGAAUACCGAUGGCGAAGGCAGCCAUCUGGCCUAAUACUGACACUGAGGUGCGAAAGCAUGGGGAGCAAACAGGAUUAGAUACCCUGGUAGUCA
rnacentral:rRNA from 1 species